UAUUUAUACCUAUAAUUUAAAAAUUUCUGAACAUUUUCAAAAAAUAAAGAGACAUCGACAUCCUAUCCAAUCUCUAAAAAAAUGAGACAAUCAAUAACUAUUUAAACACAUAUGAAGACAUCCUUCAUCCCGCAAUUAAUACCGCCAAGGAAAAUAACACACCAUGAAUUAAUUUUUCCCUCACUCAACAUCGUCCUUUUAAAGCGAGUCGUAAAAACUGUGGCGUUCAUGGCAUGGCGAGUAUUAAGUAAGUCCACGUCGUGGUGUGAGAAUAAUGAAAAAGUCGUUCUCAUUCCUUUACAGGGUAGUGCGAGGCCUUAUCGAUUAUGCAAAAUUUAAUUAAGCCUUUUAAACCAAACAGCAGUUAAACGAGUUCACACGACGGACGAAGCAAAGAAAAAAAUGUGCAACAGUUCAAUGUUUUCUUGGGCAUGAAACUUGAGCAAGUCUUUUACUUAAGUAAGUAGAUCAUCGUUAUGCAAAUAUUUAAAUAUGUAAUGAGCAUGAUCUCACAGCACAAGAGAUAAUAAUCAACUUGAAUUGAUUUGAUUAAUCAUUGAUCAGUUUCCAUUUCUAAAGAAUUUUUACUAAGUGAAUUCAUUAAUAAAUUGGUUUGUUUUGUUACGUAAUUCCGUUUUUAUUCAUGGUUCGUUUCGUUUUGUAAAGGAGAAGAAGACGGAAAAGUUGAGGGAGGAACAUUGAGAAAUCGAGAGAAGAGCAUAGAAAAAAUAGCUCAGUUUUAGAUUAAGUAACGAGUAAAAAGAUAAGGUAAAGUAAGAACGUUAAGAUAAGAGGUUAUCACAGACUAGGUUUUAGGUCACAGACUGUAACAAGACUAUUAAAGUCGGGUAGAAAUACUGAACAUAAACUCUGCGAAGAAAAAUAGCACCAUUCUGUUCUUAUCUACAAGCUAGAAAUCUUUGGCAUCUUGGAAGAAAGUAGGUUUUCACCGGAAGACAGACUUUUUAAGAUGGCAACAGACCAGACUUACACGUUUACAGGAAAGUUUUAGUGAAACAAGAGUGAAAAAAGUUGAAAAAUAAACUGUAAAUAAACUUUGCAUACAAAAAUACUC